rnacentral:rRNA from 1 species
GAUGAACGCUAGCGGCAGGCUUAACACAUGCAAGUCGAGGGGUAUAGUUCUUCGGAACUAGAGACCGGCGCACGGGUGCGUAACGCGUAUGCAAUCUACCUUUCACAAAGGGAUAGCCCCAGAGAAAUUUGGAUUAAUACCUUAUAGUAAUACGACUUGGCAUCAAGAUGUAUUUAAAGAUUUAUCGGUGAAAGAUGAGCAUGCGUCCCAUUAGCUUGUUGGUAAGGUAACGGCUUACCAAGGCAACGAUGGGUAGGGGUCCUGAGAGGGAGAUCCCCCACACUGGUACUGAGACACGGACCAGACUCCUACGGGAGGCAGCAGUGAGGAAUAUUGGACAAUGGGCGCAAGCCUGAUCCAGCCAUGCCGCGUGCAGGAUGACGGUCCUAUGGAUUGUAAACUGCUUUUAUACAGGAGAAACACUCCGACGUGUCGGAGCUUGACGGUACUGUAAGAAUAAGGAUCGGUCUAACUCCGUGCCAGCAGCCG